rnacentral:rRNA from 1 species
CAGAUUGAACGCUGGCGGCAUGCCUAACACAUGCAAGUCAAACGGGAGUAGCAAUACUCUAGUGGCGGACGGGUGAGGAAUACGUAGGAAUUUGCCCUUAAGUGGGGGAUAACCCGGGGAAACCCGGAUUAAUACCGCAUGACCUCGAAAGAGCAAAGUGGGGGAUCGCAAGACCUCACGCUUUUGGAGAAGCCUACGUCGGAUUAGCUAGUUGGUGAGGUAAUGGCUC